CUGAAUCAGUGUGUGUGUUAGUGGAAGCGUCUGGAAAGGCGCGCGAUACAGGGUGACAGCCCCGUACACAAAAAUGCACAUACUGUGAGCUCGAUGAGUAGGGCGGGACACGUGGUAUCCUGUCUGAAUAUGGGGGGACCAUCCUCCAAGGCUAAAUACUCCUGACUGACCGAUAGUGAACCAGUACCGUGAGGGAAAGGCGAAAAGAACCCCGGCGAGGGGAGUGAAAAAGAACCUGAAACCGUGUACGUACAAGCAGUGGGAGCCUCUUUUAUGGGGUGACUGCGUACCUUUUGUAUAAUGGGUCAGCGACUUAUAUUCUGUAGCAAGGUUAACCGAAUAGGGGAGCCGAAGGGAAACCGAGUCUUAACUGGGCGUUAAGUUGCAGGGUAUAGACCCGAAACCCGGUGAUCUAGCCAUGGGCAGGUUGAAGGUUGGGUAACACUAACUGGAGGACCGAACCGACUAAUGUUGAAAAAUUAGCGGAUGACUUGUGGCUGGGGGUGAAAGGCCAAUCAAACCGGGAGAUAGCUGGUUCUCCCCGAAAGCUAUUUAGGUAGCGCCUCGUGAAUUCAUCUCCGGGGGUAGAGCACUGUUUCGGCAAGGGGGUCAUCCCGACUUACCAACCCGAUGCAAACUGCGAAUACCGGAGAAUGUUAUCACGGGAGACACACGGCGGGUGCUAACGUCCGUCGUGAAGAGGGAAACAACCCAGACCGCCAGCUAAGGUCCCAAAGUCAUGGUUAAGUGGGAAACGAUGUGGGAAGGCCCAGACAGCCAGGAUGUUGGCUUAGAAGCAGCCAUCAUUUAAAGAAAGCGUAAUAGCUCACUGGUCGAGUCGGCCUGCGCGGAAGAUGUAACGGGGCUAAACCAUGCACCGAAGCUGCGGCAGCGACGCUUAUGCGUUGUUGGGUAGGGGAGCGUUCUGUAAGCCUGUGAAGGUGUGCUGUGAGGCAUGCUGGAGGUAUCAGAAGUGCGAAUGCUGACAUAAGUAACGAUAAAGCGGGUGAAAAGCCCGCUCGCCGGAAGACCAAGGGUUCCUGUCCAACGUUAAUCGGGGCAGGGUGAGUCGACCCCUAAGGCGAGGCCGAAAGGCGUAGUCGAUGGGAAACAGGUUAAUAUUCCUGUACUUGGUGUUACUGCGAAGGGGGGACGGAGAAGGCUAUGUUGGCCGGGCGACGGUUGUCCCGGUUUAAGCGUGUAGGCUGGUUUUCCAGGCAAAUCCGGAAAAUCAAGGCUGAGGCGUGAUGACGAGGCACUACGGUGCUGAAGCAACAAAUGCCCUGCUUCCAGGAAAAGCCUCUAAGCAUCAGGUAACAUCAAAUCGUACCCCAAACCGACACAGGUGGUCAGGUAGAGAAUACCAAGGCGCUUGAGAGAACUCGGGUGAAGGAACUAGGCAAAAUGGUGCCGUAACUUCGGGAGAAGGCACGCUGAUAUGUAGGUGAAGUCCCUCGCGGAUGGAGCUGAAAUCAGUCGAAGAUACCAGCUGGCUGCAACUGUUUAUUAAAAACACAGCACUGUGCAAACACGAAAGUGGACGUAUACGGUGUGACGCCUGCCCGGUGCCGGAAGGUUAAUUGAUGGGGUCAGCGCAAGCGAAGCUCUUGAUCGAAGCCCCGGUAAACGGCGGCCGUAACUAUAACGGUCCUAAGGUAGCGAAAUUCCUUGUCGGGUAAGUUCCGACCUGCACGAAUGGCGUAAUGAUGGCCAGGCUGUCUCCACCCGAGACUCAGUGAAAUUGAACUCGCUGUGAAGAUGCAGUGUACCCGCGGCAAGACGGAAAGACCCCGUGAACCUUUACUAUAGCUUGACACUGAACAUUGAGCCUUGAUGUGUAGGAUAGGUGGGAGGCUUUGAAGUGUGGACGCCAGUCUGCAUGGAGCCGACCUUGAAAUACCACCCUUUAAUGUUUGAUGUUCUAACGUUGACCCGUAAUCCGGGUUGCGGACAGUGUCUGGUGGGUAGUUUGACUGGGGCGGUCUCCUCCUAAAGAGUAACGGAGGAGCACGAAGGUUGGCUAAUCCUGGUCGGACAUCAGGAGGUUAGUGCAAUGGCAUAAGCCAGCUUGACUGCGAGCGUGACGGCGCGAGCAGGUGCGAAAGCAGGUCAUAGUGAUCCGGUGGUUCUGAAUGGAAGGGCCAUCGCUCAACGGAUAAAAGGUACUCCGGGGAUAACAGGCUGAUACCGCCCAAGAGUUCAUAUCGACGGCGGUGUUUGGCACCUCGAUGUCGGCUCAUCACAUCCUGGGGCUGAAGUAGGUCCCAAGGGUAUGGCUGUUCGCCAUUUAAAGUGGUACGCGAGCUGGGUUUAGAACGUCGUGAGACAGUUCGGUCCCUAUCUGCCGUGGGCGCUGGAGAACUGAGGGGGGCUGCUCCUAGUACGAGAGGACCGGAGUGGACGCAUCACUGGUGUUCGGGUUGUCAUGCCAAUGGCACUGCCCGGUAGCUAAAUGCGGAAGAGAUAAGUGCUGAAAGCAUCUAAGCACGAAACUUGCCCCGAGAUGAGUUCU
rnacentral:rRNA from 1 species